CUCUCCCUAGAGAGAAAAAAAAAACAGUAGACACGGGCCUUUCGAACCGUGCUCAAUCCAAAACGCCAAACGGCCCACGUGCGCCGCGUUUCCUCCAUCUCCAUCCGGCCAUCCCACCUCCGCUUCCUCCUCCGCGCCGGCCUACGCGACUGCUUCCCUCUCUCUCUCGAGUCUCGACUCUCGACUGCGCCGCUACAGCCUGACGCGAUGGCCUCGUCGGCGACGAGAGAGGUUCUCAUGCUUGAGGCGCCUCCGCCGUCCGACCCCGCUGCGGGGCCCUGGCGCGCGGUGCCGGACGCGGAGGCCAUUGACGCGCUGCCCUACAUCGACGGCGACUACGGCGAUGCGGCGGUGAAGCGGGAGGUCGAUCGCCUCGUCGAGGAGGAGAUGCGCCGAGGGAAGCGCAAGCCUGCAGACUUCCUCCGGGACCUGCCCCCUGUUCCCACCGCCGGAUUCGAGAAUCAUCCUAUGCUUUCUAAAGAAUAUGAACGUGUUAGGGCUGGCAAACCUCCUUUUAUGCUAGAUAUGUCUCGCUAUGGUUUGGAGCCACCUCCAAUGAACAAGAGGAAUGAUGUUGGCGCUUGGAGGCAGGCUCUACGGAAUGCUCAGAGCCAGUUGCAGCAUCAAAUUAUAAGGAUAGAGAAUCUCGAGCUUAUGCUGAAAUAUGGCGUAGAUGUUUGGAAGCUCCAGAACAGACAAAUGGAAUCAGUUCUGUCUAGCUUCGGCGUCGGAGGCUGGAGCCGGAGUUGCACCAAACAGCCAGGAGAGGAGAAACGCUUCUGCACCUGUGGAAGAGGAACUGGGGCUGUUUUACAUGAUGCAAAAGAUGGCUGUAGAAUACAAUGAAAGGAUAGAAAAUGUCAAUCGCGAGAGGAAGUUCCACCAGCAAAAUACUGGAGGACAGCUGCAUGCCCUGAAAAUGGAAUGGCAGGAGCUGUGUCAAAAAAAUAUAGCUAUUCAGGCUGCUUGUGUUGACCUGCAGAAUCAUAUUGAUCAGCUUAAACUUGAAGCAAAAGAACUGGGAAUGCCCAUGGACGACAACUCAGGAACCGACCCACAAGCAUCAUGAGGAUUUGAGAUACAGAGGUGGCAAGGAAGAAGCUACGCUUCAUUUGAGUCUGGCAGCUGGACGUUUCAUUAGCCAUUGUGAUUACCUGUCCUGCAAUUGUCAUAUGGGACAGUCUGUUUGAUAUUGAAAACAAUGUGGACUGUGCCUAGCAAUCCCAUGACCUGUGCUCCUGAAAACACCUCGCAGAGGAAGAAUCUAAAUUCGUGUAUUGUUGUCCGUUGAAGUGCCCUAACUUGUGGCAAGAGAAAUGCAGCUGAUGUAUGCAGACUCUCCAGUUGACAUUGAGUUCUUACAUGAAGCUUUUCUGUUUGAUUUUC